AUUGAACGCUGGCGGCAGGCCUAACACAUGCAAGUCGAGCGAGCGGCGGACGGGUGAGUAAUGUCUGGGAAACUGCCUGAUGGAGGGGGAUAACUACUGGAAACGGUAGCUAAUACCGCAUACCAUCAGACGUGCCCAGAUGGGAUUAGCUAGUGGGUGGGGUAACGGCUAACCUAGGCGACGAUCCCUAGCUGGUCUGAGAGGAUGACCAGCCACAAGGGAACUGAGACACGGUCCAGACUCCUACGGGAGGGAGCAGUGGGGAAUAUUGCACAAUGGGCGCAAGCCUGAUGCAGCCAUGCCGCGUGGGGGAAGAAGGCCUUCGGGUUUUAAAGCACUUUCAGCGGUGAGGCGUUACCCGCAGAAGAAGCACCGGCUAACUCCGUGCCAGCAGCCGCGGUAAUAC
rnacentral:rRNA from 1 species